rnacentral:guide_RNA from 1 species
AUUUGAGAUUAUAUGGUUUAGUGAUAGUGAAAUUAU